rnacentral:rRNA from 1 species
GAUGAACGCUGGCGGCGUGCCUAAUACAUGCAAGUCGAGCGAAUGGAUUAAGAGCUUGCUCUUAUGAAGUUAGCGGCGGACGGGUGAGUAACACGGGGGUAACCUGCCCAUAAGACUGGGAUAACUCCGGGAAACCGGGGCUAAUACCGGAUAACAUUUUGAACCGCAUGGUUCGAAAUUGAAAGGCGGCUUCGGCUGUCACUUAUGGAUGGACCAGGGUCGCAUUAGCUGGUUGGUGAGGUAACGGCUCACCAAGGCAACGAUGCGUAGCCGACCUGAGAGGGUGAUCGGCCACACUGGGACUGAGACACGGCCCAGACUCCUACUGGAGGCAGCAGUAGGGACUCUUCCGCAAUGGACGAAAGUCUGACGGAGCAACGCAGCGUGAGUGAUGAAGGCUUUCGUGUCGUAAAACUCUGUUGUUAGGGAAGAACAAGUGCUAGUUGAAUAAGCUGGCACCUUGACGGUACCUAACCAGAAAGCCACGGCUAACUACGUGCCAGCCGCCGCAGUAA